rnacentral:rRNA from 1 species
GUAGGGAAUCUUCCACAAUGGACGAAAGUCUGAUGGAGCAACGCCGCGUGAGUGAAGAAGGUCUUCGGAUCGUAAAACUCUGUUGUUAGAGAAGAACGUGCGUGAUAGUAACUGAUCAUGUAAUGACGGUAUCUAACCAGAAAGCCACGGCUAACUACGUGCCAGCAGCCGCGGUAAUACGUAGGUGGCAAGCGUUGUCCGGAUUUAUUGGGCGUAAAGGGAACACAGGCGGUUUUUUAAGUCUGAUGUGAAAGCCUUCGGCUUAACCGAAGAAGAGCAUUGGAAACUGGAAGACUUGAGUGCAGAAGAGGAGAGUGGAAUUCCAUGUGUAGCGGUGAAAUGCGUAGAUAUAUGGAGGAACACCAGUGGCGAAAGCGGCUCUCUGGUCUGUAACUGACGCUGAGGUUCGAAAGCGUGGGUAGCAAACAGGAUUAGAAACCCCAGUAGUCC